rnacentral:rRNA from 1 species
UACGUAGGGCGCAAGCGUUGUCCGGAAUUAUUGGGCGUAAAGAGCUCGUAGGCGGUCUGUCACGUCGGCUGUGAAAACCCGAGGCUCAACCUCGGGCCUGCAGUCGAUACGGGCAAACUAGAGUGUUGCAGGGGAGACUGGAAUUCCUGGUGUAGCGGUGAAAUGCGCAGAUAUCAGGAGGAACACCGGUGGCGAAGGCGGGUCUCUGGGCAACAACUGACGCUGAGGAGCGAAAGCGUGGGGAGCGAACAGG